ACGGUGCACGGCUUGUCCCCUGGCUGAGUGAGUCGGUGGCCUGACCCUGCUUUCUCACGUCUGGGCGGGUUCAUCACCUGCUCCAGCUCUGAAGCAGGUUCAGCGAUGGAUGUGUACUGAAUGGAGCGGCAGCCUCGGUGGUGGCUGGCAGCUGUCUCAGAGCCAGGCUGCAAUUCAUCAUGCAGAUGAAGGAGGGAGAGAGCCUGGAGGAAUGGGAACCCAUUUUGGGAGUCUCCUUCUCCACUACUGAUUUCUCACCAGACAAGUGGACAAAGAGCCAAACAGAGCGAUUGGGAUCUCACCUGUCAUUCCACCCGCUCCUCCUUAAAAGGCUGAUGAAGUCCCAGAAAAGUACAUCACCAAUGGCAACACCACUUGUGAUGUGUGAGUCGCCGAUACUACAGACUUGUGGGUCAGCUGGAUUGCAGCAGCAUGAUUCUAUAUAAAGGAGGUGAGAGACUUCUAAAAGGACAACGUGAAGGAGGCAGAUGGCAACGUGAGAAGAAGAGGCUGGAACUAUGUCAGAGCCUGAUUUGCAGAAAUCUGAAAGAAGAUAUUUCCUUGACCUGAAGCUGAGAUGAAUCGUAAGUCAGGAGCAGACCCAUGACAUUAGAAGCAUCCAGUUGUCCCAAGCCUAGAUGGACUCAACUGUGUUCCACUUUCUAAGUGAAGCAGAAGUGUGGGAUGUGGGAUGAUAACUGGCUUUAUUCCUCAUUGCAACUCUAACCAUUUGGAAGCCAACAACCUGGGCAUUUUGUAAAAUUAUUCACCUCAGCUCAGCAAGAACAAGUGCCUCUGCUGAUUAACAAUGUCUGUCCCACACAUGGGCAGCGGUUUCCUAAUGUAAUCACCAAACCUAGCUCCUCUACAAAGAAGAUGGUUUCUCCUUCCCAGCUAUACUGCUGGAAAAGGGUAGAGUUCAAAUCUCAUCCAUGCAUCGGACAGACUUCAUGGCUUGCAUCAAGGCUUCCCUUCCUUCUUUCCAGAAUUUCUGGCCACAAAUAUGACCACAGAGUUGGUGUAAGAGAAAGAGAUGAUGAAAGGAUGAAACCAAAAAUGUGCAAAAGAAGAGCUGAGAGUUGUUGCUUUCUCUACGACAGCUCAGUAUUUCAGCUCAUCACACCUUUAGGAAAAUUUUCCCUGAGUGCUCUUCCCCUAACUAGGUCUGACCUCCUGUUUUAUGGUACUACAGGUUUUUUUGUUUUUAUGUUUUUUUUUUUUUUUUACAAAAAUACAUUUACUUCAUAGAACUAAGCACAGUUUAUAAUUACUUUUAUUUAUGAUCAGUUGAAAAUCUUUUUGCCUCCCACUAGACUGCGAGUUGAGCUCCACAAAGGCUGGAACUCGGUUUUGUCCUCGGAUGGAACCAGAGUCUCGGGAAAGAACAUGGCUUCCUCCUUGCCCCACAUUCACGCUGGGGAUAAACUGCUACUGAACAUACCACAUGGACAAGAAAUGCUCAGUAAUGCUUUUAAGGGGAAGGGUGGAUGGCGUAUUGUAAUCAAGAAAACAUGUGCAUACAUCAUUGAGACGUAACUUAGGUCUCGCGUCAGGGAUUUUUGGGUUAUCUGCUGGUAGAGAUACAUGUGAAUGGUAUAAACUUCUACUGGGAAUCCACAUGAACCUCCUUCUACUAGUGAAGGCAUGUGGCCACCUCUCACUCUUACCAAUGCCUGGACAUAAUAAAUCCUCAAA